rnacentral:rRNA from 1 species
GAUGAACGCUGGCGGCGUGCCUAAUACAUGCCAGUCGAGCGAACGGACGAGAAGCUUGCUUCUCUGAUGUUAGCGGCGGACGGGUGAGUAACACGCGGAUAACCUACCUAUAAGACUGGGAUAACUUCGGGAAACCGGAGCUAAUACCGGAUAAUAUUUUGAACCGCAUGGUUCAAAAGUGAAAGACGGUCUUGCUGUCACUUAUAGAUGGAUCCGCGCUGCAUUAGCUAGUUGGUAAGGUAACGGCUUACCAAGGCAACGAUGCAUAGCCGACCUGAGAGGGUGAUCGGCCACACUGGAACUGAGACACGGUCCAGACUCCUACGGGAGGCAGCAGUAGGGAAUCUUCCGCAAUGGGCGAAAGCCUGACGGAGCAACGCCGCGUGAGUGAUGAAGGUCUUCGGAUCGUAAAACUCUGUUAUUAGGGAAGAACAUAUGUGUAAGUAACUGUGCACAUCUUGACGGUACCUAAUCAGAAAGCCACGGCUAACUACGUG